UACGGAGGGAGCUAGCGUUGUUCGGAAUUACUGGGCGUAAAGCGCACGUAGGCGGCUUUGUAAGUUAGAGGUGAAAGCCCGGGGCUCAACUCCGGAACUGCCUUUAAGACUGCAUCGCUUGAAUCCAGGAGAGGUGAGUGGAAUUCCGAGUGUAGAGGUGAAAUUCGUAGAUAUUCGCAAGAACACCAGUGGCGAAGGCGGCUCACUGGCUCGAUACUGACGCUGAGGUGCGAAAGCGUGGGGAGCAAACAGG
rnacentral:rRNA from 1 species